AGCUUCCGUUAUCUGUACUGAGAUUUCGUCAGAAAUCAAUCCAUCGGGGCUGAUGCAACUUGACAAAUACGUGAAGCA
rnacentral:pre_miRNA from 1 species